AGAGUUUGAUCCUGGCUCAGGACGAACGCUGGCGGCGUGCCUAACACAUGCAAGUCGAACGUGAUCCAGAGCUUGCUCUGGUGAAAGUGGCGCACGGGUGAGUAACGCGUGGAUAACCUACCCUGGUAUCCGGGAUAACAUUCCGAAAGGGGUGCUAAUACCGGAUAAGCCCACGGGCUCUUUGGAGCUUGCGGGAAAAGGUGGCCUCUAUUUAUAAGCUACUGUAUCAGGAUGGGUCCGCGUACCAUUAGCUAGUUGGCGGUGUAACGGACCACCAAGGCGACGAUGGUUAGCUGGUCUGAGAGGAUGAUCAGCCACACUGGAACUGAGACACGGUCCAGACUCCUACGGGAGGCAGCAGUGGGGAAUUUUGCGCAAUGGGGGAAACCCUGACGCAGCAACGCCGCGUGAGUGAUGAAGGCCUUUGGGUCGUAAAGCUCUGUCAGAGGGGAAGAAAUGAUAUAGUGCUAAUACCACUUUAUCUUGACGGUACCCUCAAAGGAAGCACCGGCUAACUCCGUGCCAGCAGCCGCGGUAAUAC
rnacentral:rRNA from 1 species